GCAAGUCGAACGGACCAGGCACGGGAGGCGAAGUACCUGGUAGGCGAGUGGCGAACGGGUGAGGUAAUACAUCGAACGUGCCCGAAUCUGGGGGAUAACGCAGCGAAAGCUGUGCUAAUACCGCAUACGAUCUACGGAUGAAAGCAGGGGACCGGCAAGGCCUUGCGCGAGUGGAGCGGCCGAUGGCAGAUUUAGGUAGUUGGUGAGGUAAAGGACUCACCAAGCCUUCGAUCUGUAGCUGGUCUGAGAGGACGACCAGCCACACUGGGACUGAGACACGGCCCAGACUCCUACGGGAGGCAGCAGUGGGGAAUUUUGGACAAUGGGCGAAAGCCUGAUCCAGCAAUGCCGCGUGCAGGAUGAAGGCCUUCGGCUUGUAAACUGCUUUUGUACGGAACGAAACGGUCCUUUCUAAUACAGAGGGCUAAUGACGGUACCGUAAGAAUAAGCACCGGCUAACUACGUG
rnacentral:rRNA from 1 species